rnacentral:rRNA from 1 species
AUGUCAUCAGGUCGAUCGGGUGUUAGGGGUUGGCGAGGAGAAAAAACAGAUCGAGAAAUAGAAGAUGGUCGAUUGGGCAGCGGCCAGAUAACGCCUCCACUGCUUUCUCUUCCCCAAGAAGCAAACCCUCACCUCCCAGGUUCACAUGCAACCUUCGCUCGUCUCCUUGUUUCUCUCCUCCGCCUCUUCCUCCGGGUGUACUUGCGGCUGCAGUGGGAUGGGAGUAAAGGGGGCGAGCAGGAUGGGUGGCCAGCUGAUUUCUUCGAAGGAUCUGGAGCCCAGGGGCGACGCCGCCUCUACCAUGUCAUCCUUGCCGACGAGCUCGGCCUCUGCGGCAGCAGCCCCAUGGUCGCCGGGAAGAGAUGUGAAAUGCUCAACUUAGGAGGGAGCAUAGACAAGGCGGCAGUACAGGAGAUGGAUACGAAGUCCUUGGAGGGUCAGAAUACAAAGCUCUACUAG